UACGGAGGGUGCGAGCGUUGUCCGGAAUCAUUGGGCGUAAAGGGCGCGUAGGUGGCCCGGUCAGUUCGUGGUGAAAGCGCGGGGCUCAACUCCGCGUCGGCCAUGAAUACUGCUGGGCUUGAGCACUGUAGAGGCAGGCGGAAUUCCAGGUGUAGCGGUGAAAUGCGUAGAUAUCUGGAGGAACACCGGUGGCGAAGGCGGCGUUCUGGACUGCAACUGACACUGAGGAACGAAAGCCAGGGGAGCAAACGGGG
rnacentral:rRNA from 1 species